AUUAGAUACCCGUGUAGUCCUAGCCGUAAACGAUACUCGCUAGGUGUCGGCCACGGUGCGACCGUUGUCGGUGCCGUAGGGAAGCCGUGAAGCGAGCCACCUGGGAAGUACGGCCGCAAGGCUGAAACUUAAAGGAAUUGGCGGGGAGCACCACAACGGGUGGAGCUUGCGGUUUAAUUGGAUUCAACGCCGGAAAUCUUACCGGGACCGACAGCAACAUGAAGGCCAGGCUGAAGACUUUGCCGGAUUAGCUG
rnacentral:rRNA from 1 species